UGGUGCUUGAAUGAAUUGG
rnacentral:siRNA from 1 species